AUAAUCGAGUUUUCGGCUGGUUCAUCGAAAGUAUCCGGCCCCGUUUCGAGGUCGAGACGUCGCGUGCCUAGCGUAUUCCGGCCCGGACGGAGAGAGACCUUAGCCCUGCCCUUUGUCCGUUCGUGAGCCGAAUAAUAACACCGCUUCCGCUUCCGACUCUUCCACUAUAUAAAAAGAGCGGACGGCUGGGACCGACCAUCGAUCCGACAAAUCGUUCAACAUGAAACUGCUGUUCUUCUUCGCUUUCUUAGUCCUGUUGGCAGUCGCCUCGGCCGUCUUGCCAUACUACGGCUACGGUUAUCUGCCCGUGGCUCGUUACACCUACUCCUCCUAUUACGGACACCCAUACGCCUACGGAUACUACGGUUUCCUGCGAUAGAGGAUUACCCACGCCUUCGUCUCGACGCAAAAUACCCAUCUCGGGAUGCCAUCUUCGCUCUUCUGUGACUCUCGUGUAGUCUCUUCUUUCUUUAUAAAUAAAUUUUAGCAUUUUUCUUUAAAAAUA